UGCAGUUCCCCUCCCUCCACCGGACCUGAGCCGCUCUCAGCCCUGCAACCCCGGGAGUAUCCGGCAGCUUGGCCCACCCCUCGGCCCGGCCGCGGCCUCCCUGGCCCUUCCCCUCCCGCGGAGGAAGGAGCGGGCGCCGAGAAGUGGGAAACCCGGGCCCACUUCCUGUCCCGGCAAGGCCUGCUCCCUGGGCGCGGGAGGCGGCCGGGCCGCAGCAGAGAGCAUGCACUGGGGCGCCGCAGCGGCGGGCCGGGACGAGGGCGCGGGGCCAGGGGGACCUGGCCGCGCUGGUCGCCCCGUGCGCCGGGCCGGCCCCACCCCGCCCCGCGCGUCCCGGCGGCGAGAGGGUUAAGCGCGCGGGGGGCGGGGCCGCAGCGAGCCCUGAGCGCCGAGUGCGGGCCGCGGGUGGGGAGGGGGCUGCGGCCGGGGGCGGUUCCGGGCGGAGGGGGCGGGGGCGGGGGCGGGCGGAGGAAGGGGGCGGGCCCCAGAAGUUGUUCGGCGCUAGGCCGGCGGGCGGGAGGGCGAGCGGGCAGCGGGCCGGCGGGCGGACCGGGCCGGGGCUGGAGAAGUUUGCGCGGCGGCUCGAGAGCGCAGGGUGCGGGCCCCGCCGGCCGCUGCGCGCCCGCUGCCAUGGCUUUCCGCAGGAGGACGAAAAGUUACCCGCUCUUCAGCCAGGAGUUCGUCAUCCACAACCAUGCGGACAUCGGCUUCUGCCUGGUGCUCUGCGUCCUCAUCGGGCUUAUGUUCGAGGUCACCGCCAAGACUGCCUUCCUAUUUAUUUUACCUCAGUAUAACGUUAGCGUGCCUACAGCAGAUAGUGAGACUGUGCACUACCACUAUGGGCCGAAGGAUCUGGUCACCAUCUUGUUCUACGUCUUCAUCACCAUCAUCUUGCACGCUGUGGUUCAGGAGUACAUUUUAGAUAAAAUCAGCAAACGGCUUCACCUCUCCAAGGUGAAACACAGCAAGUUCAACGAAUCUGGACAGCUGGUCGUCUUUCAUCUCAGCUCUGUGGUAUGGUGCUUCUACGUGGUGGUGACGGAAGGAUAUUUAACAAACCCAAGAAGCCUCUGGGAAGACUACCCACACGUGUACCUCCCCUUCCAGGUGAAGUUUUUCUACCUGUGCCAGCUGGCCUACUGGCUGCAUGCACUGCCUGAGCUGUACUUCCAGAAGGUACGGAAGGAGGAAAUUCCCCGCCAGCUCCAGUACAUCUGUCUGUACCUGGUCCACAUAGCUGGAGCAUACCUCUUAAACCUCAGCCGCCUGGGCCUGAUCUUGCUGCUGCUGCAGUACUCAACUGAGUUCCUCUUCCACAUGGCUCGACUCUUCUACUUUGCCGAUGAGAACAACGAGAAGCUGUUUAAUGCCUGGGCUGCUGUGUUUGGGGUCACCCGCCUCUUCAUCCUCACACUCGCUGUGCUGGCCAUCGGCUUUGGACUCGCUCGCAUAGAAAACCAGGCCUUUGAUCCUGAGAAAGGAAACUUCAACACCUUACUCUGCAGGCUCUGUGUGCUGCUGCUGGUGUGCGCUGCCCAGGCCUGGCUCAUGUGGCGCUUCAUCCACUCCCAGCUGCGACACUGGCGGGAAUACUGGAAUGAGCAGAGUGCCAAGCGGAGAGUCCCAGCUGCCCCCAGACUGCCGGCCAGGCUCGUCAAGAGGGAAUCUGGUUACCAUGAAAACGGAGUAGUGAAAGCGGAGAAUGGGACCUCCCCACGGACUAAGAAACUCAAGUCUCCUUGAGGCCAAAGUGCUGGAACAGGGAUCCUCUCAUGGGGGCACGGCAGGGAGGUUGGGGAGCCCGGCCCCCGCCACUGCCUUCCCCCUCCUGCUCCUGAUGCUCCAUCUCAAGCAGCAGGAACCUGUCUUCAAAUGGGGCUUUUCCUUUCUUACUUCUUGGCUUUCUUUUCUUACUCCUCCAUAAACCAUUCUCAAUAAAACCAAAACUCUUCCUUCUUUCUCUCCCUUAAGCCACCUCACGUCCUUGCCUCUGUCCUGUGUUGGGUUUUCUAGAAGCCCAGGCCCUCAUGGUUAUCUUUUUGCUUGCCUCCUCUUUCUCUUCCUUCACGGCUGCUGCUUUUUACUUCUCUCACCGUAUUGUGCAAUUUUUCCGUGUCUGAUUUUUACAAUGAGAGGGAGCUCAAGUUGCAGUGAGUCCUGGCCAUCCACCACCCAGCUUCAGUCCCCAGGACUUGUCAAAGCCAGAAGCCUCAUGCCAAGGAGCCUCUGCCUGGGGCCACUAGCAGGCCCACCCGCGGGCCAUCAUGUUCGCGCGAGGAGAGGAGAGACCAGCCCUCUUGGAUCAUAAUCUCCUAGGUGCUGAUUAACUGAGAUGUAUGAUUCCAGUUCCACACGCACCAGCUGGAGGCCCGGCAUAGCCACUGCUCCUUGGAAUUGCCAAGGCAUUUGGCUGUGGGGCAUGGAGACCUGGUCCAGAAAGAUGGUGUUAACCGUGUUGGGUCCCAUGACUUGAGACGGCUUACCGGUGGCUGGUCCUGGACGGGCGCCGGCCUGCCCUCGCUCUGCCGGGGAGGUGCUGAAGGAGGACAAGUUUCCCCACCCUCUAAAGCAAGAACAAAGCGUACUGAGCAGCAGGCUCCUCUGGAAAGGUAAUGGUGGCAGAGGCGAUGGAGCUGUUGUCCUCAGCCUUUCUUCAGCCCCAGCUACAGCUGCUUUUUCAACCGUUCACCAGCAUCCAAAACCAAAUCCAAACCACAGUGAACAGACCAGCCUGACGGACGCUGGUCCUCAACCCCAGACCCAGGCAGCCCUGUCAGGGCUGGCCUCGCUACCUGACUUCAUCUCUCUUGCUGCAGGAACAUCCGAGUCCCCCACUCGUCCCCUGGUGCCCCAGAGAGGGUCACUGGUCCAUAUCCCCUCUGGCCCCGUCUGUCGUGUGUUCUUCGGCAAGGUCGUUGUCAUCCUCCGAUGUCUGUCCAGCGCACCUCCAGCAUUUGAGACUGAGAGCAGGACCGAUUUGGAAUCGGUCUGCAGGGUAGAUGAGCAAAUGCCACUCUACCACUGUGCCACUGGGGGGCCUCUGCCCUGUCCCUCACAUAUCCUUUCCCUGUGCUCCACCCAAAGACAAGGCCUCCAAGCCCAUGUGGGGCCUGGUUUGGACUUCGGGAACGGGUUAGGCUUUCAGAGGUCCUAAUUAAGAACUCUUGAAUUCUGCAUUAAGGUGCUGGGGAGUGAUUCUUGGGGGGCAUAGAAAUGUUAGUAUCCUUUGAUGUGCUGGUCCUCUUUCUGAUGCCACAGUAGAAGCCAAACCUUGGGUUAUUAUCCUAAAAGGGGGGAGAUGGGUUUUUUCAUCAGGGCAAUUCUUCCUCCAUGUCCCUUUUAUCAGCAACAGAUUGGAUUUUCCAGUGACUGAGGGAGUUGUACCCUCCUCUGUCCAGGAUAAGGUAGAAAUGGGAAAAGCUACCCUUGGCUUCUGAUUACCCUUAGGAAGUGGGACGGCGCUUUUGGAGAUCUGCAUCUCUCCCAUCCUCGUCUGACACUUCCUGGGCUGCAGAGCAGAAUGUUGCUAAAAGGGUACUUGGAAUCAACCCUGCAGACCCGAGCCAGGACCCUUUAGCCAUUCGACCAAAUACCCUGCUGAGGCUGCGUUCGGGCUCCUUACCUUGCCUGGAGAUGGAGGGGCAUUCAGCCAGCAGCCUCCAACCUGCCCAUCAGCCUCACAGCCCUUCCUGGUCCUCUCCUGGCUGUGUCUCGGGCAGCAACCUGCCUCCUGUGAGGGGCCACUCCCUCAGGUGUGCUAGGUGUUUGUGGUCAGAGACUACGUGGCUUCGUGCUCACUCAGCCUCCUGCAAACUUCUGGCUCUGUGGUAGGUAUGAUUCACAGCUGGUACCACCACUUCAGGGGUCUAGGUCAACCUAGGCUCCCUGAGACCAUGACUGAGGCUAGCAUGUCGCUAGCAGGGCCUCUGGGAUGAUUUGAGAGGAGAUGGGAUGAGAGUAAAUGUAGGGUGCUUUGUCACCCCACUGGCAUCCCCGCCACAUGUAUUUCAGAGCAGAGCCAGGGCUUUGGCAGGCUGGCUCAAAGCAUGUUGCCGAAAUAACUCCAUCCUGUGAGCUUGUUGUGCUGGCUUGUCCUGAUUUGGCCACUUUGGCUGUCGUCUUCCGUCUUCUACACGCUCUCCUGUUCCCAAAGUGCCAAGCCAUCUGGGAAGGCCCUGCCAGACAGCUCUGAGUUUGAGAGGCUGGCUCAGCAAGAGCAGGAGAACAGAUGCUCAUCUACCUCAGCCAAAGCCGCCUCUCUCUCUAAACAUCCCUGGCCAGCACAGGUGUGGCAGGUGGCAGUGGGCAAGAGAGGCAGGCUGUGUGGUGGACAGGAGGGCCCUGUGCUCCUCGGGUUCAGUGGUGGGAAAGUUAUUUUUACCAUCUAGGCUCUGAUAGCUGCACUAUUAAGUGACAUGUGUUCCUUUUGAAGGUAGGGGAAGGUUCUAGAGGAAAGGGAAGCAGGCUGAGCCAGGAGGGGAGCUGCUUCUCCCCCAUUCUAGUCCAUUCUAACCGCGCGUGUGUCUGGGCCAACAGAUAUAAAUGGUUGCCGAGAACCGUUUCUGUUUCUGUCCCCAGGCAGAACUUACAUUUCAGAAACCAAAAUUGACAUCUGUACUCUGGCCACCUUUGCAGAUGCUUCUCUUGACUAGAAUCCCUGGGACCCUAGAAACCCCUAAAGCUUGGGUGGGGGAUUCUCCCAGGGGGUGUGCAUCUUGGUUUUCUUUAGGAAUCUUCUUUCUUAGCGGCCUUUGAUUUUUUUUUUUUUUUCCUAAGUGGUGAAUAAGAGGUAGGUGCAGAGAGUACACCCUCCCAAGAUUCCACAAUAGAAAAUUCUACUCCCUGGAUGCCUCUUUAAAUUUGAAGUGGCUUGCCAGGCCACAUGUGGCUAGGGAAGGCUCAGCUUUUGGAUUUACAUCACAGGUUUCAGCCUUCCCUGUCCAUUUUCCCUGGGCCUGGACAGCACUCACUCCCCUUGCUGAGUGCCUGGGAGACCCAAGUGAGCAGAGUUGUUCCAUAAUGGAAGGUGUGCUGUGGUCUUGGGAGGUGGGAAGAUAGAGUGGUCUUCCUUCCCUCCCACUGCCUCCCAGCCCACAACCCUGCUCCUCAGAAGGGCGCAGAGUCAUUGUCAGAUGGUGAGACACUUAAAUAGAAUCCCUCUUCAGCCGGAGGCUGGCCCAAUGAGCAAGCCUUCAUCGGCUUCACUGUCUUUACCCCGGGUCUCUCCUCUCCUGCCUCCCCCCCUACUCGUUUUUAUAGAUGUCUCAACAGCAUCGAGACUUCCAUGUUCCGUUCUCUGUGUUCAGCAACCCCUGAGAGUUUGUCCUGAGCAGACCCUCCUCCUUGCUGUAGAAGUGCCUUACUUGCCACGUGGUCUUCUGGCCUUGGCUUGUACUGCCAGCUGCCAGGCCUCUAGGGUGGUCUGUCCUGUGCAGCCAAGGACACCAGACCCUGGGAUAUCACAUGUAAAAGGGACAUGGAUUGUGACAGUUUGGCCUCACUCGUCUCAGUCCCCUCCCCCCAUCAUGUUGGGGUAUGUGGUCAGUUCUAGGUUGUUUCUGGUUUCUCCUUUGUGUCGGUUUUCUGGCCCACAGGGGUGGCUGCAGUCACCUGUGCCUCCUACCCAUGGAAGGAAGCCUCGUAGCCUCCAGGGACACUGAGUGCCCUGUGAACCCUGCUCUGCCAGCACCGCCCACCCCUAGUUUAAAAAGAAAGGGGCCCUGGCUGUAACCUCUUCCACUCUGUUUUGUCUCCCAUUCAACCCACAGUUUGUAUGGUAAAGGUGUUAGUCACAAGUGUCAGCCCGCAGACGCCCAUUUGACAGCGGGUCUAGUGUGGCUGUUGCAGUCUCCUUGCGCUCCAAACUCAGUGUUACCUAUGUUCACAGCGGCUGCCUGCCGUCCCCUUGCUCUUCCGGGCUGUGCAAUAACUCUCCCAGCCGGUGGUCUUUCCACAGGCCUUGCUGUCCCUAAACACCCUGCAGUUGGGAAGGGAAGGGAAGGGACCCGUGGGAGGGCGGUCGACAUCCCUUACAGAAGAAAUGUGCGCCACUUCCCGUGUUGCUGCCCUUGUCUUCACCCUGGGUGGGUUUCUGUGGCACUCGAAUAGAGCAUCGUAGCAUCACCUUAGAAGUUCGUGUAUUUUUUUUUUUUAAUCUGUUGAAAAGGAAAAAAAAAAAACCAUCCUCAUGAUGGGGCAUUAAAUAAGUCCAUGUCUGGGAAGUAGAUCUGCUGUGACCCCUGAGAUGUCACCAUCACUCUAAAGGCGUUCUAGAGUUUCUUGUUUGCGUGGAGAGGAAGCAGCUUGUGCGGAGAUGCGGCCAUGCGGGGACAGCCCUGCUCACCCGGUAGGAGCGGGCUGGCAUCGUAAGUGCCACUGUUGCCUUGGGGGCGGAUUCCCGUGUUUCUGUGAUGAGACCAUACACCUCACGUGUCUGUCCCUCUGGUUUAACAGCUGAAGGACAAGCUGAGGCCGCUGGUGCCGCCUGAGCAACUCCUAAUGCAAAUGUGGACAAAGUGUCUUUUUGUUUUCUACUUUAGCCUGUUCACGUUAUGGACCAAAUUUCAACAAGGAACUCAAGGAAAAUUUGUACCUGCCGUAUUUAUGCUUUCAUGUAAAAGGGUUUUUUUUUUUUUUGGGGGGGGGGGUCUUUUUAUUUUCAGUGAACUUUUUUCAAAAUCCUUUUCCACCGUUUCUGUCUGGUUUUAAAACAAAUUGCAGUUUUGUAUGGAUUUUUUUUUAAUGUACAUUUCGAAACAAAUCAAAUAUUUUUGAAAUAACUGAAUAAAAGGCAUAGAAUUAUCA